rnacentral:rRNA from 1 species
UACGUAGGGUGCGAGCGUUAAUCGGAAUUACUGGGCGUAAAGGGUGCGCAGGCGGUCCCGCAAGUCAGGCGUGAAAUCCCCGGGCUUAACCUGGGAAUUGCGAUGGAGACUGCAAGGCUAGAAUCUGGCAGAGGGGGGUAGAAUUCCACGUGUGGCAGUGAAAUGCGUAGAUAUCGGGAGGAACACCGGUGGCGAAGGCGGCGACCUGGGCCAAUACUGACGCUGAGGUGCGAAAGCGUGGGGAGCAAACAGG